UUUCAUUUGGGAGGAAAAAGGGAAAUAUCCUCUUUUGAAAUGAAGGAUAAGUUUUUAAGAAAUUACAUACUGGCUCUGUCCUCAUCCCUCUUUAGCUCUUAGGAAACAAGGAUUGCUGAUCCAUACAACACCUUUGGAGUCCGCAGUUCCAGGAGUUCUGGAAGAAGUAAAGUGGGAAGGACCUUACCAAAUGUUACAGAUGACUGAGACUGAAGCCCAGAGGCUGAGAACACCAGGUUUAAAGGACCUUGGAGGAACCUGAAGAAUGGAUUGUUAAAGACAAUUUAUAUCCUCUAAAAUUUGCUUUGCAAUUAGGAAUGUUUUUGUGGGAGGGGAGAUUGUGCUUAGAGGAAUUUUAACAAUAUUGAUGUUGCACCUAGUAUUUAUAUUUCCAGAAAAGUUUAUAGAAACUCCUUGAUUGGAGAAAGUUGAAUUAACAUUUUUUUAGGCUGAAGAAAUCAUUAAUGUUAAUUCUGAUAAGGUUCUUUAAUGUGAAAUUAAUAUAUUCUAUAUUCUAUAUGAGUUUUAAUUGGUUGUAUUGAGUCAUUUUAAAGCUGUUCCCAUUGUUUAGGGAGAUUCUGAGAGCAGUGGUCUAUGUCAUUGUCCCUUUGAACAUGGUUAAUACCUAAACAUGUUUUGGUAUCAAUUUGUUAUUGAACAUCUUAAAGUAAAAUUAUUUGUGUAAUAUUAAAUUUAAAAUCUAUUUAGAUAUGAAAAUAAGCUGUGAACUUUUUAGGAUGGAUCUCUUAUAGUUAUCAAUGUAAGUAGGUAUAGUCAAUACUUAUUUAGAGCAUGUGAUCCUUCCUUGAGAGCUAAUUCACCUGAAGCUUUGAUUAAGAAGAUUUCAUAUUUGACAUAAAAUCUCUUGGUACUGUAACUGAUUUUUUAUUUCAGAUAUGAUUGUUUGAUGGAUCAUCAAGCCAGUAAUACACCAUCUGAAAAGAAUAUGCCACAAGUCACUCAGAUGAAUGUGAUGCUGAAUUGUUACAGAUUCACAGUUCAAAUGAGAAUCAUGGAUAUGAUGCUAAAAAGAAGAUUAAAGAAUCAUCUAAUCAGUCUUAAUUUUUGAGGUAAGGAAACUAAGGACUAAAAAGAUGAGUAAUUUGUCAAAGAAAAGUUAGCAGCAGAACCAGGAAUAGAGACUGUCUCUUAAUAUAAAAUUCUUAUCCCAUGCUGCUUUUUGCUCCCUUUCACUCUAUAUUACUAUUCAAUAUGUCAUAUUUGUAAAUCCUCAAUAAAAAGUUCUGAAUAUAUG
rnacentral:lncRNA from 1 species